rnacentral:rRNA from 1 species
GUAACACGUGAGCAACCUGCCUAUCAGAGGGGAAUAACAGUGAGAAAUCAUUGCUAAUACCGCAUAUGCCAUAAAUACCACAUGAUGAAAGUGGGAAAGGAGUAAUCCGCUGAUAGAUGGGCUCGCGUCUGAUUAGAUAGUUGGUGGGGUAACGGCCUACCAAGUCGACGAUCAGUAGCCGGACUGAGAGGUUGAACGGCCACAUUGGGACUGAGAUACGGCCCAGACUCCUACGGGAGGCAGCAGUCGGGAAUAUUGCGCAAUGGAGGAAACUCUGACGCAGUGACGCCGCGUAUAGGAAGAAGGUUUUCGGAUUGUAAACUAUUGUCGUUAGGGAAGAUACAAGACAGUACCUAAGGAGGAAGCUCCGGCUAACUACGUGCCAGCAGCCGCGGUAAUACGUAGGGAGCAAGCGUUAUCCGGAUUUAUUGGGUGUAAAGGGUGCGUAGACGGGAAAGCAAGUUAGUUGUGAAAUCCCUCGGCUUAACUGAGGAACUGCAACUAAAACUACUUUUCUUGAGUGUUGGAGAGGAAAGUGGAAUUCCUAGUGUAGCGGUGAAAUGCGUAGAUAUUAGGAGGAACACCGGUGGCGAAGGCGACUUUCUGGACAAUAACUGACGUUGAGGCACGAAAGUGUGGGGAGCAAACAGGAUUAGAUACCCUGGUAGUCCACACCGUAAACGAUGGAUACUAGGUGUAGGGAACAUU